GGGACCUCAGGAGGGGUAACCCUUCUGAGGGGAGAGCGGCCAAUGGGUGAGUAACACGUGGGCAACCUGCCCCGGACACCGGGAUAACCCAGGGAAACCUGAGCUAAUACCGGAUACUCCGGCGCGAUCGCAUGGUCGUGCCGGGAAAGCUCCGACGGUCCGGGAUGGGCCCGCGGCCUAUCAGCUUGUUGGUGGGGUAACGGCCCACCAAGGCGACGACGGGUAGCUGGUCUGAGAGGACGGCCAGCCACACUGGGACUGAGACACGGCCCAGACUCCUACGGGAGGCAGCAGUGGGGGAUCUUGCGCUAAUGCGCGAAAGCGUGACGCAGCGACGCCGCGUGGGGGAUGAAGGCCUUCGGGUUGUAAACCCCUUUCGGCAGGGACGAAGGGAAACUGACGGUACCUGCAGAAGAAGUCCCGGCUAACUACGUGCCAGCAGCCGCGGUAACACGUAGGGGACGAGCGUUGUCCGGAUUCAUUGGGCGUAAAGCGCGCGUAGGCGGCUCGGAAAGUCGGUCGUGAAAUGCCGGGGCUCAACCCCGGGACUGCGUCCGAUACUUCCGGGCUGGAGGUAGGUAGGGGAGAUCGGAAUUCCUGGUGUAGCGGUGAAAUGCGCAGAUAUCAGGAGGAACACCGGUGGCGAAGGCUGAUCUCUGGGCCUUACCUGAC
rnacentral:rRNA from 1 species